rnacentral:rRNA from 1 species
UACGGGGGGGGGCAAGCGUUGUUCGGAAUUACUGGGCGUAAAGGGCUCGUAGGUGGCCAACUAAGUCAGACGUGAAAUCCCUCGGCUUAACCGGGGAACUGCAUCUGAUACUGCAUCGCUUGAAUCCGGGAGAGGUGAGUGGAAUUCCGAGUGUAGAGGUGAAAUUCGUAGAUAUUCGGAAGAACACCAGUGGCGAAGGCGGCUCACUGGACCGGUAUUGACGCUGAGGUGCGGAAAGCGUGGGGGAGCAAACAGGG